CAUGAAAAUUAGAACUUCAUAUGGUGGGACCUCAGUGGAGUGAAAUCCUAGCUUAGCAGUUUUCACAGUUGUAUAUGAGAGGAGAAUUAAUAAGAGACUGGGUGGGUGUUGCCUGGAGUCAACCCAUCACACUUGACAAAACUCAACAUGUAAAAAAAGUUAAGGACAAAAGUAGACUAUGCUCUGUGUCAUGACAUCUUUAUAACUGCUUUCCUUUUUAAAGCAAUUGUGCAGUAGAUAAAUACGAUGACAUGGAAAAUG